UGCCAUCAGCCCUCUGCUUUGACUGAGAUAUGGAUGGAAUGGGGCCAAGGUCUCCAUGUUUUGAAGUUUCUAUUUUAUCUUCGACCCUUGUCCUGCGGGUUGGUUCUUUAUCUCUAAGGACACAGAUAUUAUAGGCAGUGAAGUCUGAUAAAUUUGCCUGAACAGUCUUUUUGCAGUUUUCAAGUAAGACCAGGGUGGUGAAAACUUGCCAGUGGUCCGGACUGAGAUGGGCAUGUAGCUACGGGGCUAUGUUUGGUGUGGAUCUACCCACUGCCAGGGCGUCCAAAGGCAGAACACUGUGUUCUACUCAAUGGAACACCUAAAGCCCUUAACAGACUAAAGCAAAGCAGAGAUGGGCUGAAUAUGCAAACCUUUGGCGCGUGUGGGAGCUGCAAUGAAGUACAGGCGCCCCAGGCUCAGAGGGCUCCCCAUUCUUUUUUUCUCAUUUCAGGUCUGCCUCUCAAACUCUGGUUUGGUAUAGAAAGCUCCCUGUGAA